AGUGACAAAAAAUAACGAUACGGGACUCAUCCGAGGCCCGUAUCGGAAUGAGUACACUAUAAAUUCUUUAACAAAAAUCUAUUGGAGGGCAAGUCUGGUGCCAGCAGCCGCGGUAAUUCCAGCUCCAAUAGCGUAUAUUAAAGUUGUUGCGGUUAAAAAGCUCGUAGUUGGUUCUGUGUGCCAUGCUGUUGGUUCACCGCCUGCCGGUGCAACUGACAUGUCGUGGGACGUCCUGUCGGUGGCAAUUAAAGGCCUAUUGUUUAGCAGAGGCUUGCUUCUACUAAACUUAGGUUACUUUAAUUGCCGAUUAAAUCCUGCCGCGGUGCUCUUUACUGAGUGUCGAGGUGGGCCGACACGUUUACUUUGAACAAAUUAGAGUGCUCAAAGCAGGCAAAAGUCUGCCUGAAUAGAAGUGCAUGGAAUAAUAGAAUAAGACCUUGGUUCUAUUUUGUUGGUUUUCUGAAUCCAAGGUAAUGAUCAAUAUGGACAGGCGGGGGCAUUCGUAUUGCGACGUUAGAGGUGAAAUUCUUGGAUCGUCGCAAGACGAACUAGAGCGAAAGCAUUUGCCAAGUAUGUCUUAAUUGAUCAAGAACGAAAGUUAGAGGUUCGAAGGCGAUCAGAUACCGCCCUAGUUCUAACCAUAAACGAUGUCAGCCAGCGAUCCGCCGAUGUUUUUUUCAUGACUCGACGGGCAGCUUCCGGGAAACCAAAGCUUUUGGGUUCCGGGGGAAGUAUGGUUGCAAAGCUGAAACUUAAAGGAAUUGAC
rnacentral:rRNA from 1 species